rnacentral:rRNA from 1 species
AGAGUUUGAUCCUGGCUCAGAUUGAACGCUGGCGGCAUGCUUUACACAUGCAAGUCGAACGGCAGCACGGGUGCUUGCACCUGGUGGCGAGUGGCGAACGGGUGAGUAAUGCACCGGAACGUACCCAGUAAUGGGGGAUAACACAUCGAAAGAUGUGCUAAUACCGCAUACGCCCUGAGGGGGAAAGCGGGGGAUCGUAAGACCUCGCGUUAUUGGAGCGGCCGAUGCCGGAUUAGCUAGUUGGUGAGGUAAGAGCUCACCAAGGCGACGAUCCGUAGCUGGUCUGAGAGGACGACCAGCCACACUGGGACUGAGACACGGCCCAGACUCCUACGGGAGGCAGCAGUGGGGAAUUUUGGACAAUGGGCGCAAGCCUGAUCCAGCCAUGCCGCGUGAGUAAAGAAGGCCUUCGGGUUGUAAAGCUCUUUCGCAAGGAAAGAAAACUUAUCUACUAA